AUUUACAUGGGUUGUAAGCAUAACACUGUUUGACGCAAAUCUGGAUGAGAUGUUUAGGAUGGGUUGUUGGCUUAGCUCAGGAGGUAGAGCAGUUGUCUUGUAACCGAAAGGUUGCUAGUUCGAUCCCCGGCUCCUCCUAGCUGAGUGUUGAUGUGUCCCUGAGCAAGACACUUAACCCUAACUGCUCCUGACGAGCUGGCUGUCGCCUUGCAUGGUUGACUCUGCCGUCGGUGUGUCAAUGUGUGUAUUAACUGAUGUAAGUGGCUUUGGAUAAAAGCGUCUGCUAAAUGCCCUAAAUGUAAAUGUAAAUGAAAAUAUUUUCUAACUUGUACAUCAUGAAUUCAUCUGCAUAAAUGUGGACCUAAAAGCCAUUUCUUUUUGGAGGGCUCCCUAGUCUGAUCAAACUGUUGUUAAUAUAGACGAUCAUCCACAGGGAGCUUUUGGGAUACUUCUUCUUUUGGUAUAUUGCUUCUGAUAGUGAUAAGAACAACUAAAACAAUGGCUCAAAUCCAAUCAGAAGUGUGACCACUAGCUGGACUGGACACUAAUUGAACAUUACUUUUUAGUGCAUUGUCAUAUCCUGUGUGCAUCUGGUAUCUUUGUAAUCGUGCAAUGUAUUGUGCUGUGUGUGUGUUGUCUCCUCUACUUUGCAUUUUAUCUAUUUGUUUGCUGUCUCUUCUAUUUGUAUUUUCUCUAUUUGUUUGCUGUCUCUUCUAUUUGUAUUCUCUCUAUUUGUUUGCUGUCUCUUCUAUUUGUAUUCUCUCUAUUUGUUUGCUGUCUCUUCUGUACUUUUUAUAUUUAUUUUAUUAGGGACUA